ACUGGUCUGAGAGGAUGAUCAGUCACACUGGAACUGAGACACGGUCCAGACUCCUACGGGAGCAGCAGUGGGGAAUAUUGGACAAUGGGUCGAAAGCCUGAUCCAGCCAUGCCGCGUGUGUGAAGAAGGUCUUCGGAUUGUAAAGCACUUUAAGUUGGGAGGAAGGGCAGUAAGUUAAUACCUUGCUGUUUUGACGUUACCAACAGAAUAAGCAUCCGGCUAACUUCGUGCCAGCAGCCGCGGUAAUACAAAGGGUGCAAGCGUUAAUCGGAAUUACUGGGCGUAAAGCGCGCGUAGGUGGUUCAGCAAGUUGGAUGUGAAAUCCCCGGGCUCAACCUGGGAACUGCAUCCAAAACUACUGAGCUAGAGUACGGUAGAGGGUGGUGGAAUUUCCUGUGUAGCGGUGAAAUGCGUAGAUAUAGGAAGGAACACCAGUGGCGAAGGCGACCACCUGGACUGAUACUGACACUGAGGCUGCGAAAGCGUGGGGAGCAAACAGGAUUAGAUACCCUGGUAGACCACGCCGUAAACGAUGUCGACUAGCCGUUGGGAUCCUUGAGGAUCUUAGUGGCGCAGCUAACGCGAUAAGUCGACCGCCUGGGGAGUACGGCCGCAAGGUUAAAACUCAAAUGAAUUGACGGGGGCCCGCACAAGCGG
rnacentral:rRNA from 1 species